rnacentral:rRNA from 1 species
AGUGAACGCUGGCGGCAGGCCUAACACAUGCAAGUCGAACGGAAGCACAGUAAGAGCGCGCUUUUACGGGUGGCGAGUGGCGGACGGGUGAGGAAUACAUCGGAAUCUACUAUUACGGGGGGGACAACGGGGGGAAACUUAUGCUACUACCGCAUAUGUCGUACGGCUGGAAUCAGGAGAUCUUCGCGGUCUGGGUGACUCAAUGAGCUGAUGCCGCAUUAGCUAGUUGGGGAGGUAAGGGCCCACCAAGGCAACGAUACGUAGCUGGUCUGAGAGGAUGAUCAGCCACACUGGAACUGAGACACGGUCCAGACUCCUACGGGAGGCAGCAGUGGGGAAUAUUCGGCAAUGGGCGCAAGCCUGAUGCAGCCAUACCGCGUGAGUGAAGAAGGCCUUCGGGUUGUAAAGCCCUUUUGUUAGGAAAGAAAAGCAGCGGAUUAAUACCCCGCUAUUCUGACGGUACCCAAAGAGUAAGCACCGGCUAACUUCGUG